rnacentral:misc_RNA from 1 species
GGAAUCUUCCGCAAUGGACGAAAGUCUGACGGAGCAACGCCGCGUGAGUGAUGAAGGUUUUCGGAUCGUAAAGCUCUGUUGUUAGGGAAGAACAAGUACCGUUCGAAUAGGGCGGUACCUUGACGGUACCUAACCAGAAAGCCACGGCUAACUACGUGCCAGCAGCCGCGGUAAUACGUAGGUGGCAAGCGUUGUCCGGAAUUAUUGGGCGUAAAGGGCUCGCAGGCGGUUUCUUAAGUCUGAUGUGAAAGCCCCCGGCUCAACCGGGGAGGGUCAUUGGAAACUGGGAGACUUGAGUGCGGAAGAGGAGAGUGGAAUUCCACGUGUAGCGGUGAAAUGCGUAGAGAUGUGGAGGAACACCAGUGGCGAAGGCGACUCUCUGGUCUGUAACUGACGCUGAGGAGCGAAAGCGUGGGGAGCGAACAGGA